ensembl:snRNA U6 U6 spliceosomal RNA
GUGCUCCCUCGGGCAGCACGCAUAUUAAAAUCGGAACGAUACACAGAUUAGCAUGGCCCUGUGCAAGGAUGGCAUGCAAGUCUGUGAAGUGUUCCAUAUUAAA